rnacentral:rRNA from 1 species
CCCGCACAAGCGGUGGAGCAUGUGGUUUAAUUCGACGCAACGCGAAGAACCUUUACCUGGACUUGACAUCUGGGGAAUCCCUAUGAAAGUAGGGAGUGCCCUUCGGGGAGCCCCAAGACAGGUGCUGCAUGGCUGUCGUCAGCUCGUGUCGUGAGAUGUUGGGUUAAGUCCCGCAACGAGCACAACCCCUAUUGUUAGUUGCCAUCAUUCAGUUGGGCACUCUAGCGAGACUGCCGGUAAUAAACCGGAGGAAGGUGGGGAUGACGUCAAAUCAUCAUGCCCCUUAUGACCUGGGCUACACACGUGCUACAAUGGUUGGUACAACGAGUUGCGAGUCGGUGACGGCGAGCUAAUCUCUUAAAGCCAAUCUCAGUUCGGAUUGUAGGCUGCAACUCGCCUACAUGAAGUCGGAAUCGCUAGUAAUCGCGGAUCAGCACGCCGCGGUGAAUACGUUCCCGGGCCUU